UUUGAGGAGAAGAGGUGGACAAGUCUGUGAAAUGCAGCUUGUUCAUUACUGUGAGAGGAGGGUUAAAAGGUUCAGGAAGGCUGUACAUGAAAUUAUAGUAGUCUAGUACUUUUACAGUUAGAAGAGAAGCUGGGUGUUUCCACCAAGGUGGAAACUGGAAGGGGUCUUCAUUCAGCAGUCUCCUGAACCCUGCUGGGCUAGACUCAGGUUCCAGCUUUGGGGAGUUCUUAAAGGCCAGAUAGAUGCCUUUUCCUGAGCUGUGUGGUAGGGUGGCUUUGAGAGACAUCUAGCCAGCUGAGUAAGUAUAACUUUAAACCAAACCAAACAUCCUUUAAAGAUUAAGUUGCCCAGGACUGAGAUCAGAUAAAUAAGCAGUCAUUAGCUCCUUACUUACAAUUUUACCAUUUUUGCAUCCUAGUUUCCUGGCUGAAGGUCUCAUGAAAGCUUCUUAGAAAUAGUACUUACUGUAUUCUAAGAGGGAAAGAUGCCUGAAGUGUGAUAGAGGGGGUGAAACUGAUUGGAAUGUAGUAUGGAUUGGAAUGUAUGUGUGGAAAUGAAACAAUGAACUCCUCCCUGUAUAACUGAUAUAAGCCAAUUUAGAAAUUCUACUGAAAAUCAUACUGCAGACUUUGACUAGGAAAAACUGAAGGUGUUCUCUGGCCAAGGCAAGUCAUUAAACUGCAGGUGCUGCCCUGCA